ACAAGCAGAGGGGGCUUAGUGGUGGGGUGACUGCGUACCUUUUGUAUAAUGGGUCAGCGACUUAUAUUCUGUAGCAAGGUUAACCGUAUAGGGGAGCCGGAGGGAAACCGAGUCUUAACCGGGCGUUAAGUUGCAGGGUAUAGACCCGAAACCCGGUGAUCUAGCCAUGGGCAGGUUGAAGGUUGGGUAACACUAACUGGAGGACCGAACCGACUAAUGUUGAAAAAUUAGCGGAUGACCUGUGGCUGGGGGUGAAAGGCCAAUCAAACCGGGAGAUAGCUGGUUCUCCCCGAAAGCUAUUUAGGUAGCGCCUCGUGAAUUCAUCUCCGGGGGUAGAGCACUGUUUCGGCUAGGGGGCCAUCCCGGCUUACCAACCCGAUGCAAACUGCGAAUACCGGAGAAUGUUAUCACGGGAGACACACGGCGGGUGCUAACGUCCGUCGUGAAGAGGGAAACAACCCAGACCGCCAGCUAAGGUCCCAAAGUCAUGGUUAAGUGGGAAACGAUGUGGGAAGGCCCAGACAGCCAGGAUGUUGGCUUAGAAGCAGCCAUCAUUUAAAGAAAGCGUAAUAGCUCACUGGUCGAGUCGGCCUGCGCGGAAGAUGUAACGGGGCUAAACCAUGCACCGAAGCUGCGGCAGCGAACGUAUCACCCAAGACAACUUUACGGAGUUGACGAUUGACGGAGCGAAGCGACGUCAAAGCGUUCAUUAAAGUCGAGUUGGCUUAGGGAUACGUUCGUUGGGUAGGGGAGCGUUCUGUAAGCCUGUGAAGGUGUGUCGUGAGGCAUGCUGGAGGUAUCAGAAGUGCGAAUGCUGACAUAAGUAACGAUAAAGCGGGUGAAAAGCCCGCUCGCCGGAAGACCAAGGGUUCCUGUCCAACGUUAAUCGGGGCAGGGUGAGUCGACCCCUAAGGCGAGGCCGAAAGGCGUAGUCGAUGGGAAACGGGUUAAUAUUCCCGUACUUGGUGUUACUGCGAAGGGGGGACGGAGAAGGCUAUGUUGGCCGGGCGACGGUUGUCCCGGUUUAAGCGUGUAGGUGUGUGUUCCAGGUAAAUCCGGUUCACUUUAACACUGAGGCGUGACGACGAGGCACUACGGUGCUGAAGCAACAAAUGCCCUGCUUCCAGGAAAAGCCUCUAAGCAUCAGGUAACAUCAAAUCGUACCCCAAACCGACACAGGUGGUCAGGUAGAGAAUACCAAGGCGCUUGAGAGAACUCGGGUGAAGGAACUAGGCAAAAUGGUGCCGUAACUUCGGGAGAAGGCACGCUGACACGUAGGUGAAGUGAUUUACUCA
rnacentral:rRNA from 1 species